rnacentral:rRNA from 1 species
GAUGAACGCUGGCGGCGUGCCUAAUACAUGCAAGUCGAGCGAACAGAUGAGGAGCUUGCUCCUCUGACGUUAGCGGCGGACGGGUGAGUAACACGUGGAUAACCUACCUAUAAGACUGGGAUAACUUCGGGAAACCGGAGCUAAUACCGGAUAAUAUAUUGAACCGCAUGGUUCAAUAGUGAAAGACGGUUUUGCUGUCACUUAUAGAUGGAUCCGCGCCGCAUUAGCUAGUUGGUAAGGUAACGGCUUACCAAGGCGACGAUGCGUAGCCGACCUAAGAGGGUGAUCGGCCACACUGGAACUGAGACACGGUCCAGACUCCUACGGGAGGCAGCAGUAGGGAAUCUUCCGCAAUGGGCGAAAGCUUGACGGAGCAACGCCGCGUGAGUGAUGAAGGUCUUCGGAUCGUAAAACUCUGUUAUUAGGGAAGAACAAAUGUGUAAGUAACUAUGCACGUCUUGACGGUACCUAAUCAGAAAGCCACGGCUAACUACGUG